rnacentral:tRNA from 1 species
GAGGCUUUAUCUUAAUAAAAGUAUUUGGAUUGCAUUCAGAUGAUGGGGAUUAAUAUUCUCCAGGUCUUA